rnacentral:rRNA from 1 species
UACGUAGGGUGCAAGCGUUAAUCGGAAUUACUGGGCGUAAAGCGUGCGCAGGCGGUUUUGUAAGUUUGUCGUGAAAGCCCCGGGCUCAACCUGGGAAUGGCGAUGAAGACUGCAAGGCUUGAAUCUGGCAGAGGGGGGUAGAAUUCCACGUGUAGCAGUGAAAUGCGUAGAGAUGUGGAGGAACACCGAUGGCGAAGGCAGCCCCCUGGGUCAAGAUUGACGCUCAUGCACGAAAGCGUGGGGAGCAAACCGG